ACUGCCUGUGAGCCUAAGGUCCAGCAAGAGCACAGGACAGGAGCAGGGACCCGCAGGCUCACCCACCCGUGCUGCUUGAACCUCUCCACAUCUUCUCCAGGGUUCCGGCCUCCAAUCCACAAAAUCUGGCUGAAAAGGAAAUGGGACUUGGAGCAAGUGUGGCAAGAUAGCAGUUCAGGCCAGUAAGGAUCCCCCGGCACCCACCACCCCAAGUGCUGUCCCCAGGGCCCUGCACCAAUCACCUGAACUGCGGAAAGUGCUUCGUGAAGUGUGACAGGACUUCAUCAAUCUGAAUGGCCAGCUCGCGAGUCGGGGUGAUGACGAUGGCUCCUACCUGCCCACAGGGAGGGGAACACCCCAAGGGCCAGCAGCACGUGAACCCCGGGGUGGAUCGCAUAAGACUGUACCCUCCAUCCUCAGACAGUUUCUGGAACUUUUUAUAGCGGUCUCAGCAAAUCAAGAGCUUUGAAGGGCAGCUCAGAGGCAGAACACUUGCCUACUCUGAACAAGGCCCAGCAUCACAAAAUAAAGUGAGUAAUCAACAUAGGGGCCAAAAUAAAUGAGGAACCACUACAGAUAGCUCAGAGGUUAAGGGCACUGACCACUCUUCCAAAGGACCCAGGUUCAAUUCUCAACACCCACAAGGCAGUCACCACCAUCUGUAACUCCAGUUCCAGAGGAUCCGAUAGCCUCUGCAGGCACCAAGGGCACAGCCAGACAUGCGGGCAAAACACCCAUACACAUACAAGUAAAUUAAAAAAAAAUUUUUUUUUAAUAAAAACCAACCAAGGAGUGGGUGACAAACAAAACCUGACGUCAUCUGUCAUGGUUCACUGUGGACCCAUAGCCAACAACACUACAGCUCAGACCUGAAGAAACGGACACCUGACCCGUAUUUUCUCUGUAUGUCAUAAUGUCAUGCAGUCAUACUUGACAGCACAUCACUGUACCAGAGGCAUUUAGUUACUUGGCUAUUUGUUUGUUUUUUUGUUUUUCAAGACAGGAUUUCUCUGUAUAGCCCUGGCUGUCCUAGAACUCACUCUGUAGACCAGGCUGGCCUCGAACUCAGAAAUCCACUUGCCUCUGCCUCCCGAGUGCUGGGAUUAAAAGCGUGCGCCACCAUGCCCGGCUUACUUGGCUAUUUGAAUGAGACACCCUCUCUAGUCUCUGGCAGUUGCCCCUUUGGUCCCCAGUUGGUGAAGGCUGUUUGGGUAGGUUUAAGAGGUGUGGCCUUGCUGGGAGAAGUCACUGGGAGCAAGAGUUGAGCCUAACCAGUCCCAAUUUCCUCUCUGCUUCCUGUUAAAGUCUUGAACUGUGAGUUCUCAUCUUGCUCCUCAAGUCCCCAUGCCUGCCUCCUGCCAAGCUUCCCACUGUGAUGAGCAUAGACUUGUAUCCCUCUGACCUGGAAGCCCAAGUAAACCCUUCCUUCU
rnacentral:lncRNA from 1 species